rnacentral:rRNA from 1 species
UACGUAGGGUGCAAGCGUUGUCCGGAAUUAUUGGGCGUAAAGAGCUCGUAGGCGGUCUGUCGCGUCGGAUGUGAAAAUCCAGGGCUCAACCCUGGACCUGCAUUCGAUACGGGCAGACUAGAGUUCGGCAGGGGAGACUGGAAUUCCUGGUGUAGCGGUGAAAUGCGCAGAUAUCGGGAGGAACACCUAUGGCGAAGGCAGCUCGCUGGGACGUUACUGACGCUGAGACGCGAAAGCGUGGGGAGCAAACGGG